ACGCGCGUCUGUCGCGGCUGCUGCACGCGCUGCGACACGCCGCCGCGCUGGCCGCCGCGCGCGGGGACCCCGACUCCACCAGGCUCGCCGCCGCACUCAAAGACAAAAUUGACAUUACGGAAAAGAAUGUAGCUGACGUAGUAGUGAAAAAGCUAGCGGAAUUAGAUGCCAGUAAGAACAUGAUGGAGCAGUACCGCCAGUCAGUUGAAACGCUCAAGAAGCAAUUGGCACAAGCCGGUGAAGAAGAUGACUUAGAAAACAUUGAGGAGGAGCUGUCGGGCUGGUCGGAGAGCGAGCGGCUGUCGCUGUACGCGCACGUGGAGGGCGCGCUGUCGGCGCUGGGCGGCGCGGGCUGGGGCUGGGCG